CCUGCAAGAGUCAGGUGAGGCCAAUAAAAGUGAGAAGCUAGUAAAAGUAAAUCAUUUAAAUUUUGAAGUAAAUAGAAAGACUGAUUUUAUGAUAUAUAAUUUAUGAGCAACCAAAAUCAAAGUGGAAUCCGGGCAUAUGUACAUCUGAAGCAUGCCGAAGAUACGUAGUUCACUUAAAAUCGUUCACUUGGAAGAAGAGUAAUUCUACUGUCUGGGCCAGUUGAACUUUACCAGCAAUUGCUUGUUGUUGUUGAAUGUUGCUGACUUCUUCAUGAAGGUUUUUAUAAACUUAUAGCCAUCAACUGAUUUGGCUAUGGUAGACCAGCCACUCACUGGCAAUCUUAUCCCCAAUGUGUUACAGUAUAUACAUAUGAUUAUGGAUUGAGGAGGCUCUACCUCGUGUAAUGGAUGAUGUUAUGCUAGAUUUUACUAGCAUUCCUUUAUAAAAUUUGUUGUUGCUUUCUGUCAACAACAAAAAAAAAUGUUCUCAUGGCGAGAAAUACAUAUGUUGUCUCUAAAAGUAAAUAAAAAAAGAAUAUAAAGUGAAUAAAAAGGAAUUUAAAGUAAACCUAUUAGCUCAAGUGGUAGAGCACUAUGCGGAUGCAUAGAGGUUUAGGUUCGAUUCCUACCUAGGUUCUCUGAAAAAUACAUAUUAAAACACUUUAAAGUUAUUCAAAAUAGCUCAAAAGUAAAUCAAAAUAACUAAAAAGUAAAUCACAUUAGCUCUAAAGUAUAUGAAGAAUAAAUUAGCUUUAAAUGAUAAAUUACAAUGGAAACUUUGUUAUAUACUUAUAUCACAAUAACUCCGAGUCAUUAACUUUCAUAUCCUCAAAAGAUGAGUCAAGUUAUAAGAAACAAAUAUAUUUAGUUUAAUGUAGAGGUUUUCAAAUUUAGAGUAAAUAAAACUAUAUUGAAAGUAAAAAAAAAAAAAA